UGGAAUCAGAGUUGGAGCUCUGCAGGCAAUUCAGCCACUGAUCAGAGCUUUUGUGUGACUGAUUACACUCUCAGACUGGCGGAAACGGCCACGAGACACGAAUCAGCUGAAAUAAGCCGAGUAAAAAUCAAUGACGGAUACAGACUACAGUGUGUUAAUUUGAGUAUAAUAACACUGACGUGCAUUUUCUAACAUAUCUGAGAUCCCGGGUAUUCUCGGAAGGCCGGGUUAGAUCUUCAGGAAUAUUCCGAGCAGGAUCGACAGGACCAAAUGCAAACCCAACAAGAACUCCCUGGUUUCCUGUGAAACUCCUCCGUACGCCAAAACCGAGGUCUUCCCCAAUAACUUCCACGAACUUAUCAUCUUCACUUAAAAAAGAUGUCUCACUCAUGAUUAGAACAAAGAAAAAAAAGAUACAAACACCUUAUAUUGAAUCUUCAGUGAACACCGUGAACACAGGAGCUUGUUUAAGUAUCGUACACAACAGAUAAGCGGCUGCCGGAACAGGUGAUAAAUAAAAUAAUAAUAAUAAUAAUAAUAAUAACAGCGUGUGCACAAAUAAGUUAGAGGCUCUAUAAGCGCUUCUACAAAAGCAAACCACAUAGAUGAUAAGGAGGAGGAUGCUAAUAUAAAAUAAGGAUGAUUUCUUAUAUGCGUACAGUGUAUUUCUCACACUAAGACCACUUGAAUGCUCCACUUUUACAGGAAAAAAAAACAGGAGUGGGUUUCUCUCUCUGAAAAAGGUCAGGCAUCGCUAAAAGGUCACUGAGUCGUGGGUCUGCUUGUCUUCCACAACCAGUGAGAGAGAGAGAGAGAGAGAGAGAGGCACUGCAGGAGUCUCUCGGCAGUGACAUUUCACACAGAGAUCAGCCACAGCAACUGGCAUUUAACUCCCUUUUAAAUCCGACAGAUCAGGCCGUGCUCGUUAGGAAGUGCCGAUCAUACUGCUGAAGUCUUUAUCACAAGACCCCCCCCCCGUCCCAUCCACCUCUCUCUCUCUCUCUCUCUCUCUCUUUCUCUCUCUCUCGCUCUCUCUCUCUCUCUCUCUCUCUCUCUCUUCUCACAUGCCCACGCAUCGUACUGUAACCGGCAGUCUGAGCUCGCUUGUCUCGUCUGGAAGAGGAAGUGUGAACGCUGGGUGUGGUGGUGUUUAUUCUUCUCUAAAGGUUGAGCCACAGGAGUUAAGCUGAGAAAAUGCAACAGAGCCGUCCAGAAUGACGAGUGGUGUCACAGGGAAUCGUUUGGUUUUCCAUUAGUGAGUCACUGACGAAUCAUAAUUGUUGGACCUGGGGUUAUUUGGUCAGUGUUUUCAGAUGGUUUAGAUGAGGUUUUUCACUGAUCAUGUCAUAGUAUUGUACAGCGUGUCAGUAACAUUUCCAUACAUACACUGCAUCCGGAAAGCAUCCAGAGCGCUUCACUUUCCCCACAUUUUGUUAAGUUACAGCCUUAUUCCAAAAUGGAUUAAAUUCAUUAUUUUUCAUUAUUUUAUUAUAAAUUAUUAUUUUAAGGCUGUGAAUACUUAUGUACAUGUGCUUUUUUUGUUUUUCAUUUUUAAUAAAUUUGCAAAGAUUUCAAACAAAACUUCUUUCACGUUGUCAUUACGGGGUAUUGUUUGUAGAAUUUUGAGGAAAAUAAUGAAUUUAAUCCAUUGUGGAAUAAGGCUGUCACAUAACGUGGAAACAGUGAAGCGCUGUGAAUACUUUCCAGAUGCACUGUAUGGCAAAAAAUGUUCAUACUUAGUUUAUAUUAUAUAUUUAUAUUUUUCAGAUAGUCUUUAAGAACGCCAUUGCCAAAAGAAGAACGUGUUGAAAUCAUUCUCCUGGCUGGAUCAGGAAGCUGUCGCAAGGUUGCGAUGGAUUUUUAGAUGCAUAACAGCAGAUGUGUUAACACGAGUGGGAGAGACGACUCUGUGUGUGUUUACAAAGAAAUAGCAAGCACGUAGAGGAUGUUUUGUAAAGUAAGUAGAGUGAAGAUUCAUUUUGCCAAAAAUGUUUAAUUUCCCCUCUGUAUGGAAACUAUCUACUGGGACACCCUGGAGUAUUGUAAUGCAUUCUCACACUUAAAAAAAACAAAAAAAAAACAACCUUUUCAGUGAAAUGUGUGUAAGUGUGUGUUAGUCAGAGACUAAAAACCGAGAGAAGAAGAAGAAGUAUAUCAGUUGUAUAAACUUCAACAUCAGCUGCACAUCGAUGCGUCAUUUAUGAUUUCAGGAAUGUUGUGCAGUUGUGACGCAGCAGCAUUAUCUGCUCAUGUUAGUUAUGUAACGUGUCUCUUUUUGUCCAACGGUUUUACUGACAUGGCGUAUAUAAUGACGUGGAACACCACUGACAAUAUUGAAAACAAAUCUGUCCUUUACUAAGACGCAGGCGGCAGCAGGUUAGACACGAUUCAAUGCAAUAAAUGCUCGAAACCCAAACCAAUACCGCCAGUUACAGGUGAAGUAAAAAAAAAACAUGCAGGUUAUGUAAAGCACUGACACUGGAGACUCCUUCAAUAAAUGUUUAUAAUAAUAAUAAUAAUAAUAAAAAUAAAUGUCUCCUCACAGAAAAGUCAUCAUAUCAAAGAUUUUUUAAUCCGUUUAUGUGGAGCGUCCGUCAUACAAGUCCCUGUUACUAUAGAAACGAUAAGGUAUUAGAACGAGUGCCUUAACGUAAACCUGUGAUCUGUAGCUGCGCUACUGCCAGAGCUGCUGUUCUAGAAAACUAAUCAACACCUUCUGACCAAUCAGGAUGGAAUAAUAAUUAGUAUUGAUUCAGAACAGUAAACUGGUGAAAAGAUUGAAUGUACGUCUCAGUUCUUUACAAAACGUGUUUGCCGCCUGAAGUUUGCUUCUUUAUCUUUGUACUGGUGCUGACGAAGCUAAUACAAGGGAAGUGGAUCACUACCAGCUUGUACCCUUCGGAAACCUCCAGAAGCCAAAUGUCUUGGCUGAUUUGGUCAAGGAUACAUUGUAAUAUGCUUAGUUAAACUUUUUGUUUAAGCUCGUUUAUUUAUUUGUUUAUUUAUUUAUUUACUGGAUUUGAGCACGCACUCAUGACUUGCAUGAGCAAAGUAUGUGGGUGAGAAGUGAAAACAAACAGGAGAUAAAUUAGGAUUUAGGACGUGGACGAGCCCAGCCGCGUGGGUAUUAUAUAAAGUUCUCAACUUUGGUAUCACGGAAAAUGUGAUGAAUGUAUAAUUAUACACAACACAACUCAUUAACACCUGAUGUUAAGAAGCAAGAAAAGACUCUAAAUAAAUCAGUUCACUUGGUUUAAA